AGGACGAACGCUGGCGGCGUGCUUAACACAUGCAAGUCGAACGAGGCGCUUGCGCCUAGUGGCGAACGGGUGAGUAACACGUGAGCAACCUGCCCUUGGCUCUGGGAUAGCCUCCGGAAAACGGGGAUUAAUACCGGACAUGACCUUCUCCUGCAUGGGGGAGGGUGGAAAGUUUUUCGGCCAGGGAGGGCUCGCGGCCUAUCAGCUUGUUGGGGGGUAACGCCCACCAAGGCGACGACGGGUAG
rnacentral:rRNA from 1 species